GACUCCAUAGCUAAGUGGUUAUAGCAUGAGAUUGCAGUGUGAAUGCCUCAAGCAUGGCAUAAUCUCGGGGUCGCGUGUUCGAGUCACGCUGGGGUCU